AUGAUGGGUAGGGGAGCUUCCCAUACGGGUUGAAGCAUGACCGUAAGGACAUGUGGACAGUAUGGGAGUGAGAAUGUUGGCAUGAGUAGCGAGAUGUGGGUGAGAAUCCCACAGGCCGUAAACCCAAGGUUUCCAGGGGAAGGUUCGUCCGCCCUGGGUUAGUCGGGACCUAAGCUGAGGCCGAAAGGCGUAGGUGAUGGACAACAGGUUGAUAUUCCUGUACUACCGAUAACCGUUUGAGAGAAGGGAUGACACAGUAGGAUAAGCUAAGCACACUGUUGGUUAUGUGUGCCCAAGCAUUGAGGCAGUCAAAGUAGGCAAAUCCGCUUUGAUAAUGCUGGGAUGUGAUGGGGAGCGAAAUUUAGUAGCGAAGUAGCUGAUUUCACACUGUCAAGAAAAGUCUCUAUCGAGGUUAAAGGUACCCGUACCGCAAACCGACACAGGUGGGUGAGGAGAGUAUCCUAAGGCCAGCGAGAGAACUGUUGUUAAGGAACUCGGCAAAAUGACCCCGUAACUUAGGGAUAAGGGGUGCCACCAUCCGGUGGCCGCAGAGAAUAGGCCCAAGCGACUGUUUACCAAAAACAUAGGUUUCUGCUAAGUCGCAAGACGAUGUAUAGGAGCUGACGCCUGCCCGGUGCUGGAAGGUUAAGGGGAUCUGUUAGAGCAAUCGAAGCAGUGAACUUAAGCCCCAGUAAACGGCGGCCGUAACUAUAACGGUCCUAAGGUAGCGAAAUUCCUUGUCGGGUAAGUUCCGACCCGCACGAAAGGCGUAACGAUUUGGGCACUGUCUCAACAACAGACUCGGUGAAAUUGUAAUUCCGGUGAAGAUGCCGGAUACCUGCGACAGGACGGAAAGACCCCAUGGAGCUUUACUGUAGCUUGACAUUGGGUCUUGGUACUACAUGUACAGGAUAGGUGGGAGGCUUUGAAACCAGGACGCCAGUUUUGGCGGAGCCAUCCUUGGGAUACCACCCUUGUAGUACUGGGACUCUAACCAUAGGCCAUGAAUCUGGUCUUGGGACACUGUCAGGUGGGCAGUUUGACUGGGGCGGUCGCCUCCCAAAAGGUAACGGAGGCGCUCAAAGGUUCUCUCAGUACGGUCGGAAAUCGUACGUAGAGUGUAAAGGCAAAAGAGAGCUUGAUUGCAAGACAUACAGGUCGAGCAAGGAUGAAAAUCGGACUUAGUGAUCCGGUGGUUCUGCGUGGAAGGGCCAUCGCUCAACGGAUAAAAGCUACCCUGGGGAUAACAGGCUUAUCUCCCCCAAGAGUCCACAUCGACGGGGAGGUUUGGCACCUCGAUGUCGGCUCAUCACAUCCUGGGGCUGUAGUAGGUCCCAAGGGUUGGGCUGUUCGCCCAUUAAAGUGGUACGCGAGCUGGGUUCAGAACGUCGUGAGACAGUUCGGUCCCUAUCCGUCGCAGGCGUAGGAAAUUUGAGAAGACCUGUCCUUAGUACGAGAGGACCGGGAUGGACGUACCUCUGGUGUACCAGUUGUUCUGCCAAGGGCAUGGCUGGGUAGCUAUGUACGGAAUGGAUAAGCGCUGAAAGCAUCUAAGCGCGAAGCCAACUUCAAGAUAAGAUUUCCCACCGCAAGGGUAAGACCCCAGAAAGACUAUCUGGUUGAUAGGUCGAAGGUGUAAGUGCAGCAAUGUAUUUAGCUUAUCGAUACUAAUAGGUCGAGGACUUGACCAA
rnacentral:rRNA from 1 species